UGAUGGAUGUCAGUGGGUGCAAUUAUUUCUUUUCACGUGAAGGAAUUCAGCAACACAGCUUUGCUUCAUACACACUUCCAUGUCAGACACCAUUUUGUCAGAUUGCCCCUCUGCUGCCAUCUGUCACAUGGCAACAAAACAGAAUACUGGUGGGAAGUUUCAAGGUCUACUGCUACACCACUAACAUCUGCCUCUGUCAUCAUGGGCUGACAUAAUAAAAUAGGGGGCAUUACUUUCAGAGAAGCCCUCAUAUUUAUUAAUACCACAUUUAUAUCACUUCAACAUUAGCAAUAGCAAUAGCUUUAUGAGUGUUUUUUUUUUUAUGUCAACAAAACUAAUCUUCAAAUUUGUGUUUUGCACUUUUGAAGUGCUAAAGCAGCUCAUUUUAAUCUAAUGAAUUAAUGCCAUGAAAACUGUUUGUCCUCUUUUACGCCAAAGCUAAACCAUUGCAUACUAUCCUACAUUCAUUUCUAUUACACAAAUUGCAAACCUCUUCUAGAACUGACUUUAUGUUCUUAAAUGCUUUAAUGCAGACAACAAUACUUUAUUUAAUCAUAAAUAUUACGAAGAUGCCUAUGAGGGGUAGUUAGAUGCUGUUUCACAACAUAGACAUAGCCUUCUGUUUAGCAAUCUAAUAGAGGUUUGCAAGCAUAUAUUAAUUAAGCAUCAGAAGGCCCCUUUGAGGGAGAUAUGGUAAGGAGCAUUAUCCUUGUUAUACAAAUAAUAAAGAGGUUUCAACUUGCUGAAAGUUACACAGUAAUCUAGUUCUAGACAUGGAAUUAGAAAUUAAUUGCCCUGUGCUCUAAUGAUUCUUCUACUAUCCAAAAUUGUAUGGUGGUGAUAAUAAAUAACAAACUAAAUACACAAUGAAUAGAGGAUAUUGUGGAACAAUCUGAUUGUUAGUAUCUGUCCUUGGCUGCUUCAUAGCGGAGAGGUUAAUUCAAAUGUGGUGCUUUGGGUAACAAACACCAAUAAGGAAUAAAUUCCUUUCUCAGUAUGUGUUUGCAAGUCUCAUUAAUGAUAAUGGAAGUUAUGUGCCUGCAGGAGAAUGAAAGGAGAAGGCAUCUAUCAUGUCAAUGACCCAUGAAGUAAGAAGAAAUUAUAUAGUCUACCAUAAAGACACUGAAGGAGUCAUUAUAGCCUAUUAGACCCGGUCCUGCAGAUAUACCCUUAUACCCUUCGUUAAAGGAAGAGACUUGGCCCAAAGAACUACUUUUCCUUGGUGGAUGUCAUCUGUCUGCUCAGAACUGGUUUCCUUGCUGCCUUUUCUCACAGCCCUUCUGAUUGUUUUGGGUUUUACUUCAUGGCUACCUAAACUUUACAAAGCAACAGCCAAUGAAAUUCUUCAAUUUUGGUGGGCCAAGUGAAGCCAUUUCUUUCUGAUUUUUUUCCCCCCAAGAAGAUUUCUGAAAGAUCUGAAUAGUCUAUAGAAAAGUCUUUGUUACAUAGUCUUUGCUAUCAAAGUCUUUGAUACCCAUAAAUUCACAUUGCAAAAUAUAUAUAUAUAUAUAUUUUGGGGAAAAAAAGAUUUUCACAACAUUAGUUUUAUUUCUUUACUUAGCUAUUAUUAAAUAAUACUAAAGCACAAUACAAUAAUAAUAGAAAAAGGAAAGAUUUCUUAUCUGUGUUGAUGACUGGAUAGCCUUUAGCAAAUGUUUCACUGCUCUAGUCACAGCCUUUCAUUAAGGGUUCUGGGCAAAGAUACAAUACUAAUUUUUCAAGUAUGCUCUGCAAUCAUUUAAAUAUCAUUAAAUGUAAUAAAAAUGUAAACAAUGAAGCAUGACAAUCUAAACCCUUUAUUUUCUGUAUUCUAUGAUCACAGCAAGGGAGAUGACUUUCUGGUGCUCUAUGGAAAGUAGCACGCAUUUACAGUGUGAAAUAUAGACAUUGUUUUAAUAUGUGCUGACAUUUUUUGAACUUUCAUAUUCUUUUGGACCACAAAAAUUCACUGUGAUACCAUUCUAUUCAAAUAAUAAGAUGCCAUGUGGUUGGGAUAUUAAUUACAUAGCACUUCUCUUUGAUAUCAAAUAUUGAUAAGCUUCCUUUAAAGUCCACAUCAUCUUUAUUUUAAUCCAUUUAUUAGGCAGCAG
rnacentral:lncRNA from 1 species